AGCCCACCCCAAGGGAAGAAUCUGGGGACAGGUAACACUGCCCCCGCCCUCAAAGCAUGCUAACGUAUAAGACCCCAAGUCAAAGGCCACACAGCACUUGAAUCUCUCCUGUCCCCGCUUGGCCCUCUUCCAAGUGUACUUCCUUUUGUUCCUGCUCUAAAACUUUUAAACUUUCGCUCGGCUCUAAAAGUUGCCUGUCUCUCUCUCUGCCUCAUGCCCGUUGGUCAAAUUCUUUCCUCGGAGGAAGCAAGAACUGAAGUUGCUGCAGACCUGUGUGGAUGCACUGCUAUUAACGAGAUAGUGUUCAGGGUGGGGUGAAGCAUGCUUCUUAGAAGGGAUGGGCUGAAAAGGCAGGAGUGGAGGCAGCGGGGUCAGGAGUCCUAGAGGUGAUCUGGAGCAAUGUGAGCAACUGCAAGGAACUUCAGGGACACCACAGGACCAGAGGCUUCAGGACACUGGAGGACAUAGGGUCGUGCUUGUUGCCCAGGCUGGAGUUCAGUGGCAUCAUCAGAGCUCGCUGCCAUCUUGACCGUCUGCACUCAAGCAGUCCUUCCACUUAACCUCCCGAGUAGCUGAAACCACAGACACAGGCCACCUUGCUUGGCUAAUUUUUUUAUUAUUUGUAGAGACAAGGUCUCACUAUGCUGCCCAGGCUGGUCUCAAACUCCUGGGCUCAACUGAUCUUUCCUCCUAGGCCUCCCAAAGUAUUGGGAUUACAGGUGUGAGCCACUGCGCCUGGCCCAGUGUUGCCAUUCUUUGAACAAAAAUGCUAUAUUUAAACUGGGUGUUAGCAACCUUAGUUUUAUGUACAUAAGCAAGGGGUUGCAAGCUGAGUGCUGGGAAGCGUAGCUGUAACAAUUGGAGCCCAAAUUUUCUGUAGGUUUUACAAGAUGGCGACACUUCAAAAGCUGGGGACUUAAAUAUUGUGUUAGUUCAUCUCCAGUUUCCAACUUCCCAGCUCCCCACUAUCCCAACCAGAGGAUUUGCUGAAGAGGGACGGGCGGAUGGGGACAGGAGGCUGACACAGUACUUUGCAAAAUAUCUCAUCACCAGAAAAA